rnacentral:antisense_RNA from 1 species
ACAGACGUCGACUCCAGCAAAAAUGUCCUGACUGACUUCAGGAGAGAUAGGAAUUAUUGCUACGUGCCUCUUUCCCAGUGAAGAAAAUCUCUGUUGGCUGCGGGCAGAGAAGCGGCGGAAGGAUUCCCGACUCCGGGAAGCCAGGUGUCGGAAGGAGGAAGUGCGCUUGAAGGGGGUCCGGCUGGCCGACUCUGCACUCGUCCGUUCGUGGCCCACCGUGGUGGUCACCAAAUUGAGGGCUUCCUGGAAGGACCUCCUCACGGUGCCCAUCCAGUGGGUCAUGUGGGUCUGAGCCACCGUGAGUUUAUCUCCCAGCUGUCUCUCCCUCCCUCUCUGGAAGGCAACACUGAUCCAGGAUCUCACUCUGUUGCCCAGGCUGGACUGCAGUGGCUUGAUCACAGCUCACUGCAGCCUUGGCCUCCCAGGCUCAAGCGAUCCUCCCACCUCAGCCUCCUGAGUAGCUAGGACUACAGGUGGAGCAACACCGUCAGUCAGAAGGCAGCGGAUGGCACAGGGCUUCCGCGUAAGGCCUGCAUCGCCUGAGUCAUGGUUUUCUCAUCUUGUAUGAGGCCCACCCCCUUCAAAAGGUUGUGACAAAAAAAACAACUGAGAUAAUUUGUGCUGCUGGCACACAGUUAACACUCAAUAAGGCCGGGCACAGUGGCUUACACCUCUAAUCCCAGCACUUUGGGAGGCUGAGGCAGGUGGAUCACUUGAGGCCAGGAGUUCGAUACCAGCCUGACCAACAUGGUGAAACCCCAUCUCAACUAAAAAUACAAAAAUUAGCCAGGCAUGGUGGUGUGCACCUGUAGUCCCAGCUACUUGGGAGCCUGAGGCAGGAGCAUCUCUUGAACCCGGGAGGUGGAGGUUGCAGUGAGCAGAGAUCGCACCACUGCACUCCAGCCUGGGUGACAGAACAAGACUCUGUCUCAAAACAACAACAACAACAAAAUAAUAAA